GAUGAACGCUAGCGGCAGGCUUAACACAUGCAAGUCGAGGGGUAUUGGUUUUCGGACCAAGAGACCGGCGCACGGGUGCGUAACGCGUAUGCAAUCUACCUUUUGCAGAGGGAUAGCCCAGAGAAAUUUGGAUUAAUACCUCAUAGUAUAGUACUUUGGCAUCAAGGAACUAUUAAAGUCACAACGGCAAAAGAUGAGCAUGCGUCCCAUUAGCUAGUUGGUAAGGUAACGGCUUACCAAGGCUACGAUGGGUAGGGGUCCUGAGAGGGAGAUCCCCCACACUGGUACUGAGACACGGACCAGACUCCUACGGGAGGCAGCAGUGAGGAAUAUUGGACAAUGGGCGCAAGCCUGAUCCAGCCAUGCCGCGUGCAGGAUGACGGUCCUAUGGAUUGUAAACUGCUUUUANACAGGAAGAAACACUACUUCGUGAAGUAGCUUGACGGUACUGUAAGAAUAAGGAUCGGCUAAACU
rnacentral:rRNA from 1 species